UGAGCUGUAUAUAUCAACCCACCCUGUGUACGCUGUCCUGUUGCUUCCGCCGGGCAACCCAGGAGCGAGGAGGAUGUGCCUUGCAGUUUGGUGUACUUACUUUGCUACUCCUUUCCCCGCCGCUCCUUCUCGUAUCCUGUCAAAUGAUGGGUGCGGGGGGGAGAGCACAGGUGGGGCCGUUGGGGGGGAGGAGAGUGGGGAAUCCGAAGCUGCUCUGCUGGACAUUUUCUUUCGCCUGAUGCCUGGCGGGAGGGAUCAAUAACCUCGGAAUUUCACUGCACGAAGUCUGUCUGAAUAAAUCGAACCAACGAAAUGUUAAAAAACUUUCAGCAACGGAUCUCUUGGUUCUCGCAUCGAUGAAGAACGCAGCGAAAUGCGAUAAGUAGUGUGAAUUGCAGAAUUCAGUGAAUCAUCGAAUCUUUGAACGCACAUUGCGCCUUCUGGCAUUCCGGGAGGCAUGCCUGUUCGAGGGUCAUUGACAACCAUAUCGCGUCCUCUCCCCCUCCUCACACACCCCGGCGGUGUUGGGGGACUGGACAAGGACACUUGGUGAAGGAGGAUUGAGGGCUGCUGUGAGUGCUCCUGCCGCAACAUCGAUCGAUUGAAUCU
rnacentral:rRNA from 1 species